GUCUAAGAUUGCCAAGCCUAAGAUCUAGUGAUGAGGGAAUUAAGAAUAUUUAAGAGCAGCAAACCUUGAUUUUAUUGUUCGGUUUUAGUUAGUUGUUCUCAAUAAUUAGUUAAUAUUUGACGUUUGAAUACAUAAGACUCUUAUAACCAUCACAUUCAAAAUUACAAUCCUUACAAACUUGCUAAAAAGUUAAUUUGUUUAAUGAAAUAUGGUGGCAGAGCCACUUCGGGUUAAGCACCGUUUCUAUCAACUAAAAAUAAUUUUGCAAUAUUAAUG
rnacentral:lncRNA from 1 species